GGUAUAGUGGCAUAAUGGUUAGCACUGUUGCCUCACACCUGUAGUGUUGGGGGUUCAAUUCCCACCUCUGCUC